CAAAUCUCAAAAAGACCGUCCCAGUUCGGAUUGCAGGCUGCAACCCGCCUGCAUGAAGUUGGAAUCGCUAGUAAUCGCGGAUCAGCAUGCCGCGGUGAAUACGUUCCCGGGCCUUGUACACACCGCCCGUCACACCAUGAGAGUCGGGAACACCCGAAGUCCGUAGUCUGACCGCAAGGGGACGCGGCCGAAGGUGGGUUCGAUAAUUGGGGUGAAGUCGUAACAAGGUACC
rnacentral:rRNA from 1 species